rnacentral:lncRNA from 1 species
AGAGCCAUUUACAAAACUACUGUGCAAUCGGAAAGAAAAGAACAGCAUGGCUUCCUCGCCUCAGAGACAGCUCACAAAACCCUCCCUAAGAACCCCACAGAGAAACGUGGGCUCCCUGCUCUGACAGCUCCCAGGGGGUGUCCGUGGGGGAUAAAGACGCUGAAGGCCCGCCUCAGAGAUAAAAGGUCAGCUACUUUGUGAACUUGACUCCACAUGCAACCUGAAUCCUGCUGGAAACAGGCAUGGUCCCCGUGUCAAUACAGGAUAUGCAUAUCUGCCAGACUCUAGGACAAGAACCUCACGACAUGCUGACUGGCAGCUCCUAGGAGGUUGGAAUCGUCAACAGUCACUACCUCCCAGGAAUCCACGCAGAGCCAUCACCCUAAAAACAGCACAAAGAACUGAGGCCUAGAGCCAGGACCUGAUGUCCCCUGAAAGGACGGGACCCCCUCCUGUGAGCUGUGUGCUCCCGUGAGGUUAGGGGAACUGAGUGACUUGGAACUUCAUCCAG